AAAAGACUCCCUUUGUAUUUUUUUCUAGCCUGUGUAUUUAAGUCUUUGAUUGCUAUUUGGAAUUAUGAGGACUAUGUAGAAACUCAUCCACUGGCCUUGAUGUUUGUGUCCAGGUUUCUGCCCCUCUGGGUCGGAGCAAGAGGAGUGGAGUUCGACUGGAAGUAUGUGCAGAUGAGCUUUGAUUCCAACGUUAGUCUGAUCCACCACAUCAGUAUGGCCAUGUUGGUUUGGCUGUACUGCCGUAGUGACCUGCAGAAGUCACUGGUCCCCAUCGUCAUGUCAUGUCCCUGCUGGCCCUCGGAUGUUACAGACCCCUCAUUGUAGAAAUUCUCAUCCAUGCUGUUGGGUUCGGAUCAUGGACAUUGCUGAUAUCUAAAGCCGUUUUCACAGCCUGUGUUUCCAUGGUUUCGCUGCAGAUGUAUCUCGGAAUCCCAUCUCAACUCCAGAAUUCCUUCUAUUGAGCUAUACCAACACAACAGUUAUCUCCCUUGUAGUUACCUCCCUUGAAUGAUGUAGUUGGCCAGUAUGAACGAGAUGGUAGGGUAGAACUUUCCGCCAGCCUACAGACCAGGGCAGCUUGCCUCAUGUUAAUGGUAUCCCAAAGUCCAGUCAAACUGGUAUCAAGUCUAUAUUUCUGUUUGUUUUUGGAAUAUUUAUAACAUUUCAAGACUACAAGCUAUGUGCUUGAAGGUUACUUGUUUCACUGGCUUGGAACAAAAAACAGAAUCUGAUAAAUAUUUUAAUGAUACAAAUAAGAAUAAUGUUUUGGUUGAGGGAUUUUUAGAAUGUUUAUUUGCAUGGCUUUUUUUUGUAUUUCCAUGUAAUUUCAUUCCUAAAAGACAUGAUUAGUAGGAGUGAAUAUCAAGGGUUGUUUCUCACUAUCAUGAAAGUUUGUGUACUAUCUCAUACCUAUAUGAUUAUGCAAAACAAUAUGUAAAUGCUCAAAAAGGCUUGCAUUAGGCCAAUCUGUUCUGAUUUCAGAACAAGCAUGUUUGUUUACAAACGAGAGAAAAGUCUUGUUUGAGAGGCUUUACUUAGAAGUUGACGGAUGACAAAGUAGACACAAUUUAUGGAUAACAACUUCUUUAGUAUUGUAAAGGCGACAUUUCGGUAUAGCUCCUUAUACCGUUCUAUUACAAAACAUCGCCUUGGAUCAGGGUAUGAAACUCCCAAAACUUUCAGCCAGUCCACAGGACUGGCUACCUGAAAUACUUGCCAGCCCUGACCAAAACCCGCCUGCCCACUAUAAUCAUGUGUUUCUCAGGAUAAGCUUACGGGGUUUCUUUUUGGUUACAUUUUAUCAUUCAUCUUUACAUGUGAAUUAAUGCU